rnacentral:rRNA from 1 species
UUCCGGUUGAUCCCGCCGGACCUGACUGCUAUCGGAUUGAUACUAAGCCAUGCGAGUCAUUGUAGCAAUACAAGGCAUACGGCUCAGUAACGCGUAGUCAACCUAACCUAUGGACGGGAAUAACCUCGGGAAACUGAGAAUAAUGCCCGAUAGAACAUUAUGCCUGGAAUGGCUUAUGUUCCAAAUGAUUUAUCGCCGUAGGAUGGGACUGCGGCCUAUCAGUUUGUUGGUGAGGUAAUGGCCCACCAAGACUAUUACAGGUACGGGCUCUGAGAGGAGUAGCCCGGAGAUGGGUACUGAGACACGGACCCAGGCCCUAUGGGGCGCAGCAGGCGAGAAAACUUUGCAAUGUGCGAAAGCACGACAAGGUUAAUCCGAGUGAUUUGUGCUAAACGAAUCUUUUGUUAGUCCUAGAAACACUAACGAAUAAGGGGUGGGCAAGUUCUGGUGUCAGCCGCCGCGGUAAAACCAGCACCUCAAGUGGUCAGGAUGAUUAUUGGGCCUAAAGCAUCCGUAGCCGGCUCUGUAAGUUUUCGGUUAAAUCUGUACGCUCAACGUACAGGCUGCCGGGAAUACUGCAGAGCUAGGGAGUGGGAGAGGUAGACGGUACUCGGUAGGAAGUGGUAAAAUGCUUUGAUCUAUCGAUGACCACCUGUGGCGAAGGCGGUCUACCAGAACACGUCCGACGGUGAGGGAUGAAAGCUGGGGGAGCAAACCGGAUUAGAUACCCGGGUAGUCCCAGCUGUAAACUAUGCAAACUCAGUGAUGCAUUGGCUUGUGGCCAAUGCAGUGCUGCAGGGAAGCCGUUAAGUUUGCCGCCUGGGAAGUACGUACGCAAGUAUGAAACUUAAAGGAAUUGGCGGGGGAGCACCACAAGGGGUGAAGCCUGCGGUUCAAUUGGAGUCAACGCCGGG